UACGUAGGGUGCGAGCGUUAAUCGGAAUUACUGGGCGUAAAGCGUGCGUAGAUGGUUUUUUAAGUCCGUUGUGAAAGCCCUGGGCUCAACCUGGGAAUGGCAGUGGAUACUGGAAAGCUAGAGUGCGGUAGAGGGUAGUGGAAUUCCCGGUGUAGCAGUGAAAUGCGUAGAGAUCGGGAGGAACACCAGUGGCGAAGGCGGCUACCUGGACCAGCACUGACACUGAGGCACGAAAGCGUGGGGAGCAAACAGG
rnacentral:rRNA from 1 species